rnacentral:lncRNA from 10 species
GAGAACACGAGGCCCGAGCCCGCCUCGCACACGCGGCACGCCUCGCAGCGCCCAGUCGUCUCAUCCUGGUAGUAGCCGUAGGCGCAGCGGCACACGGCGUCGUCGGCCUCCACGCACGGCGCCGACAUGCUCUGGAGCCCCACGCACUCGGUGCACGGCUUGCACGGCUCGGUCGCGCUCACCACGUCGGAGAACGUCACGCCUGAGCGCAGCGGACACCAGAUUUAGUCGUCUGCUCUUUUGGGCACCCGGGACGCAGGAGCUGGAGUCUCUCCCUCCCCUAUUGCCUGCCAGGACGCUGACUUCCUCCUUCAGCCUUCUCAUCGGCUCCCACCCUCUUCCAAGGGACCCUGACCCCUAGCCUGUGAAAGUUGGUGGCAGCCAACUGGGAAAGGGGGAGGAGGCCCGGAGCCGCAUCCUCCAGGCUCCAGAAGCACUGGCCGGCCGGGAGGCUUUCCGGCAUAACCCAGCUGGUGCCGCUAAGUUUCUUGGCAAAUUCUCUUUGAGAGUUCCCAGGCCUGUACUAUGUUCCCAGCAUGAUUAAGGAAUAAUCUGAACGUGGUUCCCACCCAGCCCUCCCCGCGGGCCAGAGCUGGGCUGCUAACCCGGUCCAGGCAAGGUAGGCCUUCCCCUAGGGAGCCUCCUGCCUCAUCUGCCUUCAGUUCCUCUCCACACAGGUGUGGGCUCAGAUGCAGCCUAAAUGGGAGUGACCGGGGUUAGACAGCAGAAUUUCCCACCCAUGGCACUACCCCCAUGCUGCUGAAGGGCUUGGAUCCUGAGGGUGGGGACGGACCUGCAGGCAAGAGGGCUCAGGUAAGGCAGGAGCCACUGAAGCUAGAGAGCUGGCUCUUAGCCCACACUCACUCUCUCAGAUGGAUAUUGUUGAGCAGUACACAAGCUGCACAACUAUAUGAUCACCCUUUUGAGAUCUGCACAUGCGUCGUCUGCCCUUUCGGCCAGGAUGCAAGGGAGAUGUCCAAGCUCAUUCUUCACUCAUGUUUUCUUAAUUACUGGAUGUGCACUCCAGAAUAAGGAGAAGGAGGCUGGGCACGCCAGGGUCCUUGCCUCCUUGUACAGGGAGGGGAAGGAACAGGGCCAGAUCUUCUUCACCCCUUCCAGCUUUGGGUGGGGAACUCUGUGCCACCCUGGAUCUGGCAGGACCUAUCCUUGCUCCAAGGACAGGAAGAGCAUAGAUUUAGGAACCUGAGAACCAGGGAAGGACAGAUUGUUCAGAAUGUGGAAGCAGAAGCAGAAAGGCUAAAGCGCCAUUAGGGGGAAACUGAGGCCUGUAGGGGGGUCUCAACAUUAUUCAAAGGCAUCAGAGACAAGAUGGAGCAAGGGGUCACUGGCUUCGGGGGUGUGGUGGGGGGAUGAGGAGGCAAAGAAGGAAAAGCCAGAGAGAAGUGAAAGGGGCAGAACUGGGGACAAAGGCUGGGCGUGGUGGCUCACUCCUGUAAUCCCAGCACUUUGGGAGGCCAAGGCGAGCAGAUCACUUGAGGCCAGGAGUUCAAGACCAGCCUGGCCAACAUGGCAAAACCCCAUCUCUAUAAAAAAUACAAAAAUUAGCUGGGUGUAGUGGUGCACGUCUGUAAUCCCAGCUACUCGGGAAGCUGAGGUGGGAGGAUUGCUUGAGCAUGGGAGGCAGAGGUUACAGUGAGCCAAGACUGCACCAGUGCACUCCAGCCUGGGUGACAGAGUGAGACGCUGUCAAAAAAAAAAAAAAAAAAAAAAGAAAGAAAGAAAGAAAAAGGGUAGAGGAGAGAAGAAAAGACCCAGGAAGAAGGGCCUGGAGGGAGACUUCAGUUUCAAGUGAAUUCUGACAGAGGAACCCUGUGUCCCUUUUCCUAGGAGCAGGCAGAUCUGGAUUCAAAAUCCAUUUCCAUCGCUUAUAAGCUGUGUGACUUUGGGUGUUUUACUUAACCUCUCUGAGCUUUUUCUUUCUCUGUAAAAAUAAGGAGCAAUAUCUGCAGUCACAGGGUUGUAGUGAGGAAUAAAUGAAAUUCAGCCAUAAAGCUUUGGCACGUAGUUGGGAUCCUAUAAAGAUUGGGCCCCAUGGGGGUGGAGAGCGAUGAGGACAUUGAACUUUGGAGGUAGGAAUAUGGUCAGACAGCAGAAAGAACGUCCAAACACAAACAGCAAAGGCAGGAUGUCUGAGCUAUACAAACAAGAGGGUCCUGGCUGGCUGGCGUGUGAUGGAGGGUAAGUCUAGUCACACAGGAGGGGAAGAGGAGAAGCCUGCUCAUGGCAAAACACAGAAAAUUAGCAGAAAACUCCUGGGAGAGGGUUUUAGGUGGUGUGAAAAAUGUGGUCUUUUUUGGCAGAGAAUGAAGGCAGGGGCUUAAUAGGUUUCCUUGUGGAAACGUUUUAAGGGUAGAGGGAAAGUCCGCUGGGGUCUCCGUCCCAUAAAGUGGGCUUGUAAAGGCAGCCUGUUAAUGCAGCUGGAGGUGGAGGAGGGGGAGACAGGGAAGGAGGGGAAAAUGGAGGGGAGGGAGGAAGUGGAAGGGAGGAUUCUCAAAGCCACCUCUCUGCCUGCCUCCCUUCCCUUCCAGAGAUUCUGGAACUUCCCUCUCCUGGUGUCCUCCGCCCCACCUCCUGCUGAAGGUCCUUUGACUGAAGGGAAAGGGUUCCCAUCAUUUAGGUCCUGGGAGGAGAGUCCUGGGCUGGAGUCUAGGAAGCAAGAGAGGCAGAUUUGGAGGUUCUGGGAUAGCUGAUGGUUGGCCACCCCCGCCCUGGAAUGGAAACCCUGUUAGGCCAGGGCCAGAGCAGGUGGCCAUGAAGCAAGACGGCAAAGGCAUUGGAGGAUGUCCCACCUCCACACAUACGCCCAGGCAUUUCUUGGCUGGGGAAUGGUGUUACAGGAUCCACAAGCACAGAGAUGGGAAAACAGUGUGUCUGGGGAACACCAAGAGUUGGGGUUGCCUGGAGGACAGAUAGACUCAGGGGGGACAUCCAGAGGUAACACUAGGUCCGCAGGUGGGUUCAGAGGCCCCAGCUCUAUCCCCUUAUUCCCAGCCGGAUUAAAGAAUAAUCUGAGUAUGGUUCCCUCGAGCCCUCCAGGUGGGCAUCGAGUGCCAGGUAGAAGGCAGGGAGUCAGGAAAAGGGCAGGGAGCCCACGGCCCAAAGGCAGCAACUGAGGACUGGGGGCACCGAUCAGGGACCGAGACUCCUGACUCAAAAGCAUGAGGGAAUUCAGACCCUGGACAAGACUGGGGCCAAGGGGCCCAGACCCACCAGCCCAGGAAGAUGAGAUUCUCUCCCCUCCUGAAAGAAAUCCCAGGCAGGGUCGAGCACGGUGGCUCACGCCUCUAAUCCCAACACUUUGGGAGGCUAAGGCAGGUGGAUCACUUGAGGCCAGAAGUUUGAGACCAGCCUGGUCCACAUGGUAAAACCCCAUCUCUACUACAAAUACAAGAAUUAGCCAGGCAUGGUGGCAUGCAUGCACCCGUAGUCCCAGCUACUCAGGAGGCUGAGGCAUGAGAAUCACUUGAAACCAGGAGGUGGAGGUUGCAGUGAGUUGAGAUCAUGCCAUUGCACUCCCAACCUGGGCAACAGAGCAAAACUCUGUUGAAGGAAGGAAGGAAGGAAGGAAAGGAAAGAAAGGAAAGAAAGGUAAAGAAAGAGAGAGAGAGAAAGGAAGGAAGGAAGGAAGGAAGGAAGGAAGGAAGGAAGGAAGGAAGGAAGGAAGAAAUCCCAGGCAGGAAUGGGCACAGCUCCCCGUCUCCCCUCCCCUCUGUCACCCCACAGUAAGGACGUCUUCAUGGCGCUCUGACCCCCAUCCCUGCUGCCUCGGGAAAACUCUGCUUCCUGGUCAAAGCUGGAGAAGAGUUGGCCUGUAGGGAGGAACAGCCACACCCCCAGGAUCCCCCAAGGUCAGCCUUCAGGGCAGCCAGGAUUUGAUCCUCCUCUCCCUUCCCCCAAACACACCGGGGAUAAGUGGCAGCCAUUGAUUUUGCAGUGCAGAUGAUAUUUUUAGCUGGUCUUAGCAUCAGCUACUCCUCCCUGCCCAGCCACACUCUUCUACCAAGCCUCUGCCUUCUCCAGAGCUGGGAAUGGGCACCCCUUGGAGAUCCCCCAUGGGGUUCCCCUCCUCCCUCUGCACACUUCCCUUCUCCAUUCUCAGCUUCUCGAAUCUGGGAGAAGCGCCUCCUACACUGGGUCAGACCCACUUCUGAUGACCUUACAGUGGUGGUCUUAUAAGGCCUCUACUGGGCAUGCUUCUCCCCAGCGCCCCUCCCUUUCACCCCUCUCCUCCCUCCCAUUCUUCUCCCCUCCUCCUGCCCGCCACCCUCUACUCACUGUCCAGGCAGGGCUCACACACGGUCUGGUUGGCUCCACAAGGCUGGGCCACACCCUCGCCCAGGUU